rnacentral:rRNA from 1 species
UACGGAGGGUGCAAGCGUUAUCCGGAUUCACUGGGUUUAAAGGGUGCGUAGGAGGGCAGGUAAGUCAGUGGUGAAAUCUUUGGGCUUAACCCGAAAACUGCCAUUGAUACUAUCUGUCUUGAAUGCGGUGGAGGUGAGCGGAAUAUGUCAUGUAGCGGUGAAAUGCUUAGAUAUGAACAUAGAACACCGAUUGCGAAGGCAGCUCGCUACACCUGCAU